rnacentral:rRNA from 1 species
GACGAACGCUGGCGGCGUGCUUAACACAUGCAAGUCGAACGGAAAGGCCCUGCUUUUGUGGGGUGCUCGAGUGGCGAACGGGUGAGUAACACGUGAGUAACCUGCCCUUGACUUUGGGAUAACUUCAGGAAACUGGGGCUAAUACCGGAUAGGAUCUCCUGCUGCAUGGUGGGGGUUGGAAAGUUUCGGCGGUUGGGGAUGGACUCGCGGCUUAUCAGCUUGUUGGUGGGGUAGUGGCUUACCAAGGCUUUGACGGGUAGCCGGCCUGAGAGGGUGACCGGCCACCUUGGGACUGAGAUACGGCCCAGACUCCUACGGGAGGCAGCAGUGGGGAAUAUUGCACAAUGGGCCGAAGCCUGAUGCAGCAACGCCGCGUGCGGGAUGACGGCCUUCGGGUUGUAAAACGCUUUCGCCUGUGACGAAGCGUGAGUGACGGUAAUGGGUAAAGAAGCACCGGCUAACUACGUG